rnacentral:rRNA from 1 species
CGAAAGCGUGGGGAGCGAACAGGAUUAGAUACCCUGGUAGUCCACGCCGUAAACGAUGAGUGCUAAGUGUUGGAGGGUUUCCGCCCUUCAGUGCUGCAGCAAACGCAUUAAGCACUCCGCCUGGGGAGUACGACCGCAAGGUUGAAACUCAAAGGAAUUGACGGGGGCCCGCACAAGCGGUGGAGCAUGUGGUUUAAUUCGAAGCAACGCGAAGAACCUUACCAGGUCUUGACAUCCUUUGACCACUCUAGAGAUAGAGCUUCCCCUUCGGGGGCAAAGUGACAGGUGGUGCAUGGUUGUCGUCAGCUCGUGUCGUGAGAUGUUGGGUUAAGUCCCGCAACGAGCGCAACCCUUAUUGUUAGUUGCCAUCAUUUAGUUGGGCACUCUAGCGAGACUGCCGGUGACAAACCGGAGGAAGGUGGGGAUGACGUCAAAUCAUCAUGCCCCUUAUGACCUGGGCUACACACGUGCUACAAUGGGAAGUACAACGAGUUGCGAAGUCGCGAGGCUAAGCUAAUCUCUUAAAGCUUCUCUCAGUUCGGAUUGUAGGCUGCAACUCGCCUACAUGAAGCCGGAAUCGCUAGUAAUCGCGGAUCAGCACGCCGCGGUGAAUACGUUCCCGGGCCUUGCACACAC